UUGUUAGCACACUUACACUUUAACAUCAUAGUCUUAAAAAGACAUGCAGACCCUGAAGGAACAAUUCAAAAGGCAAAGACAAACGGCCGUGAGUGUCAAGCCACACAGCCACACACCCUGACUUCUAGGCUUCAUGCUCUCUGGAUGUUUCCCCAGCAACAGUCACAUUGUUAGCACACUUACACUUUAACAUCAUAGUCUUAAAAAGACAUGCAGACCCUGAAGGAACAAUUCAAAAGGCAAAGACAAACGGCCGUGAGUGUCAAGCCACACAGCCACACACCCUGACUUCUAGGCUUCAUGCUCUCUGGAUGUUUCCCCAGCAACAGGAUCUUCAUCCUCCAUUUGAGAUUAGCAACACUAGAGAGAUGGAGCAGCCAAGCUCUAAGUUUUUCCAGAAGUGAUGUAAUGGAAAUUAUACAUCCGGCAUGUCGGAGAAAGCCAUUCAAGUAAUGGAAGUGGGUACUCUACCCGCGUUGAUGCCAACUACAUUUUAAAAGACAUCUAGAAGGAGAGAAACAUAACACCAAUUCCUUGCAGAAAGCUGUGGCAUCUGCACAGUGGGCGGCAGACAAGAGGAAGUAAAUAAAAAGACAUAUUUGGCAAUAAAUGUGCCAUCUCGCAAAUAAAUUGCAAACAAGCAAUUACUGCUACGCCGGUACGUGAGGCGGCUCGCUGGGAUUUCCUAACAAAGCACUGCUUGUUUUCACUUGCAACUUAACCAGGGCGAGAAUGCCAGUUCCUCUGUGCCUAGCCCAGCACUGUGAUGUCCCUCAGUCACACCAUCCUGAAGAGAUCUGCGCUCAAGACCAUCUCCUCGGUCCAGGACCAGCACUUCCCUGUGAAGGAGGACGUGCAGUCUCCCAUACGCUUCUGUAACUCCCCCCCAACAAGGCCUGUGGCAAGGGAAAAGAUUGUACCUCUAAAGGAGAAGCAGAGCAAGACUCAGUUCUCACAGCACUGGAUUUCCUGAAGUGGAACAAGCCAGCGUUCUCUGGAGUGGACUGGGUUAUUCUGGGUGCCCGAGAAAGGGCAGAACGCUGCCGUAUCCUCUCUGGAGCGAACACCUGCAGCAAUUUCUCACACCCAAGGUAAUCUCAUGUACUUGCUGCUCAACAAUGCUUAGCAAUCUGUUCGGUGAGGUCACGCUUCCUCAGCAAACAGCAGAAUCUAAACAUCUACUCCAGGCGUGGGACGCCCACUGGAGUUAAAUUAGGUGGGUGUCUGCUUGGUUAACGAGUUUCCCACCAACUCAGCUGUGGCCAUCAUAAGUAUUGAUCUGGCACAAACGAGAAAGCUGAUAUCCUCAACCUAUUGCUUAACCCUUGGUUAUUUCCUCCAUAUAUUUCUACUCUCCUAUCUCUGUUGGGAGGUGUAUGUAUGUCUAUGGGCUAGUAUGUGUACAUGUAUGAGGGUUAGUAUGUGUACGCGUCUGUGGGUUAGUAUGUAUACAUGUAUGAGACCAGAGGUCGAGUAGGAGUGGUAUUCUUCAUUGUUGGUUGAAUCGGGGCUCAUUGGUUUCUGCAGGUCAUUGAUUAGACUAGGCUGUCUGGUCUGUGGUCCCCUGUGACCCACAGGUGACACUACCCAGACUUGGCUAUUUCGUGGGUACUGGGGAUGAAGUGUAUGUCCUCAUACUUGCAAGGUGGGCACUGGGCAGACUGAGGUAUCUCCUCGAUCUCCCUUGUUAGCCUGCCUAUCUCUAGGCUCAGGUUCCUAACAAGGGUCUAUGGAUUAAGGUUGUAAAGAAGAAUCCUGUGUGGGCUUUGACCACUGCGAUUGCCUGUCUAGCAGCCUCCCAUUUCAGAGUUGCCUUCAGCUCUGUACACCCUGCCCCCUACUGUUUAUCAGCAGUCAAUGGGAUUUUGCAGUGACAAGUGACAUCCCUGAAAGCUUGGGACAGACUUUGCUGAGCGUGCACACACAGCCUUGCACACCUAUUAAGUUGAAUUUUUGCCAAGGACCCUUUAGCCAAUCCUAAUGAACGGCUGUUUUCCAUUUAAAACAGCGUUAACUUCCUACGGUUUGUUACCUAGAAUGUAAGCAGCAAUGACAACAUCGAGGGGCAGAGGUGUCCCUGUGCCGGGAGCCCGAGUGUCCCCAGAGCCUGUGAAGUAAGUUUUGGUGGUUCUCAUGCCUCUUCUACUGCUAAGAGCAACUGUGCAUCCCUGAGUUUAAGACGAUCUGCAAGGGGAGAAAGUGUUUUAUCUCCCACUGCUUCAAACGUCUGGAUGUGCAAAGCUCUGUGUCUGUGAGAGCUUUGCCUUGUUCCUUAGAUUGCCACACCAUGAUGAAUGUGUAGAACUAACCAUUCUGUUAGAGAGUGCUAUGCCUCCAGAAGUUGAGAAAGCCCCCUUAGCCUCUGCCAUAGUCUGAUGCUUUCGCUACUAUAAUUUUAAAUGUUUGGCACACCCAUCAAGUCUUAGUAGAAAUUCCCCUACUGUAAGAGCAGGAGCCCAAGCGUACCGAUGGGGAAAUGAGUAGUUAACAGAGAAAGGUCUCUGGUUUUGUGGGUAUCAGCCUCGGAUUUGAACAUCGAAGAAGAUUGGGAUAUUAAAGUGUCAAGACACUCCUUUUACAACCAAACUUCUAGGAAUGGAAUGCGGUUCUAGGUUACAAGCUCCUAAGGCUAUCUCUUUCUUGUCAGGUGCUUACAAGGAAGGGUUCAGUGAGCCCACUCACUACCCAAUUCGGCAGACAACAGAAGUCUACCCAAUGCAGUGGAAAAGUACAAGCAGGGAAACGCACACUCCCAAAAUAGAAACUCUUCGGUGGCAAAAAACAUUGGAAAUGAUAAUACCGUCCCACUACACACAUUUAAUAAAUUUAAUCAAUUAG
rnacentral:sRNA from 1 species